rnacentral:rRNA from 1 species
GGUGAACGCUGGCGGCGUGCUUAAGACAUGCAAGUCGAACGCAGUCUUCGGACUGAGUGCCGCACGGGUGAGUAACACGUAACUGACCUACCCCCAAGUCGCGGAUAACUGGCCGAAAGGUCAGCUAAUACGUGAUGUGAUGUCCCCUUUCUGGGGGGCCAUUAAAGGUUUACUGCCGGGGGAUGGGGUUGCGUUCCAUCAGCUAGUUGGCGGGGUAAAGGCCCACCAAGGCAACGACGGAUAGCCGGCCUGAGAGGGUGGCCGGCCACAGGGGCACUGAGACACGGGUCCCACUCCUACGGGAGGCAGCAGUUAGGAAUCUUCCACAAUGGGCGAAAGCCUGAUGGAGCGACGCCGCGUGAGGGAUGAAGGUUCUCGGAUCGUAAACCUCUGAAUCAGGGACGAAAGACGCGUAAGCGGGAUGACGGUACCUGAGUAAUAGCACCGGCUAACUCCGUGCCAGCAGCCGCAGUAA